UGCAUCAUCUCUUCCAUUUUAGUCUCACAAGUCGAGUGCAGACUGCAGAAGCUUCGAUAGCACUUCCAUGGCGUCUUCUCUCUCUAGAAAACUCUCCGCUGCCAUUCUCUCAAAGCACAGACCACUCUCAAACACAUCUCUCUCUUUCUGCACCAAAAGUCUCUCCUCCCCAGAAUCCGUUUCCGAUUCCGACUCACCCCCCGAUUCCCCCCCUCCAAACCAGCAGCGCACCAAUACAGAUCGACCCCUCGAAAACGGCUUGGACCUCGGCAUUUACAAGGCGAUAUUGGUAGGGCAGGUUGGGCAGGCGCCGAUUCAAAAGCGGCUGAAAAGCGGGAAAAUGGUAACCCUAAUUUCGCUCGGCACGGGUGGCAUUCGCAACAAUCGGAGGCCUUUGGACAACGAGGAGCCGCGUGAUUACGCCAAUCGCUGCGCGGUGCAGUGGCACAGGGUCUCCGUUUAUCCAGAGAAAUUGGGCGAACUCGCCGCGAAAAAUCUCGUCCCCGGUUCUACAUUGUACGUGGAAGGGAAUCUCGAGACUAAAAUAUUCAAUGAUCCAAUAACUGGACUCGUCCGUCGAAUCAGAGAGAUUGCUGUACGUAGGAAUGGGAGGAUUCUGGUUCUAGGAAACGGAGCUGAAGCUGCGCAGUUUUCAAGGAAUGAUAUGGCCGGGGUUGGAUAUUACUGAGGUAUUGAUGAUUUUCCCGUGGUAAGGCCACAUUAACCGACAAACUAGUGCAGUGCGUAUCUCGGGAGCCAAAUUCAAUAGGCUGCAGUUAUACAAAUGUUGUUAAGUUGUCAGGCCAAAUCCAAAUGGGAACAAAGGAUCAUAAUGUGGAUCACCUACAUUCAUGGGGAGCUGGUCGACUGAUUUGAACCAUGUUCUAGGAAGUUUUCCAGUGAAGCCAUAUUGACCAAAUAGGACAUCAGCUACACCUUGGCCCUCUGUUCCUGGAAGCCAAGCUGCGACAAGUGCGUCUAUCUUAUCUAGGUAAGGCUCAAUUGUCACUGGACGCCCAGAUAUGAUAACAACAACGCAUCUGACAACCCUGCAGACGUUCCUGAUAGUACUUGGACCUGGUUCAAUUAUAGUUAGGUUUGUGCUGUCUCCUUUUUCCUCAGCAUAUGGGACCUCACCCACAACAACGAUGGCAUAAGAGAAAUUUUGUGACUUCACUAGAUCCAUGCCAGGGUUUUUCAUGUGGACAACUGGAGUGGAAGGGUCUACUGUCUUUCUGAUAGCAUUUAAGACUGUGGUUCCUGCAAUGCGGAUUUAUUAGAAAGUUAUCUCUAUAUAAAUUAUUCUCAUUACAACUCUGUUACAUGUAAAGAUGUGCUUUGCUGAAGGCUAUAUUACUUUAUUUUGGAAAGCUAAGCAUAUCAGAAAUAGUGGAAAUCCAUCUAAUAUGUUGAGAAUAUGUUUAAACUUCAGAGUUUGAGGCAUUAAAAUUUGAAGUAUACCAACUAUGAGAUCACUGACUUGGACACCCUGCCAUUCAACUGUCCAGCCUCCACAUUGAUAUCCAAGAUUAUCAGCAUGAGUUCCUGCAACAAGUACUUUCUGCACAUCCUUUUUAAGAGGAAGCAAUGGCUGAUUAGCACUUUUACCAUUUUUCAGAAGCACUAGUGAUCUUCUCACUGCUUCCCUGGCCAAUUCCCGAUGAUUCUUUCCAAAAAAAGUAUGCUUCGGUUAUUGUUGAAUUGCAAGGACAAUAAACAGUAGCAGGAAGGUUUACAAUUAGCAGAUGGUAUACCUGGCUGCCAAGUUGGUUUAACAAGCUAAGGUCGGCGAAGGGGUUUUCAAAGAGACCCAUGGUGAACUUCACCCUUAAUAUUCUCCUCACGGCAUCAUCUAUCCUGCUCAUUGGGAUAUUGUUGCUCUUCACUUGAAUACCAGCUUCAAUUGAAUGGGAAUAGUUUGAAUGAGGUGGAUCUGUAAUUCUGUCAAUGCCAAGCCAACUUGAUAUGAUGAGGCCCUGCAAUUCAUGUAUGGAAGCAUGUGAAUGCUGAGCAAUCCAUGAAAGUCAAGCUCUGUGUUGUUCUUAUCAAUGCCGUUUACGGUUCCUCCUUCGCCUACAAAACCUUUUGCACAGGCUGCGACCUUUGCCCUUAGGUAAAUGAAUAAUAUCUUCACUUGUUAGGCAACCAUAUUUUUGUUCUGGGUUGAAAUACAGAAAGAGAUGGAGAUUUAUACUUUCCAGCAAGAAAGGGGACACCCUUUCUGGAACUGGCAGGAAUGUCGCCCUGUAAACCGGGUAUGAAUUCUGUCAUUGCUCGAACCACCUUAGGAUCUUCACUAUAGCUUUCGAAACAUUGGCCCCAUCUUGGAUCUCUGCAAACCUGUAGUCAGAUGAACAGAAUGACUAGACCUGAUACUUAACACUACUGAGUUUAGUUUAGGUAUAAAUUACUUACAGCAAGGCUGGGUGCGAAAUUGUAGUUGAUUCCCGUUGCUCUAACUUCAAGUGCAGUGGCUGCUCCAAUCCUCUUGACAAGGGCUGGAUCUCUGUUCCACCACUGAUGUUAGGAUCUGAUGUUCGUGUCAAAAUGUAUAAAACGUUAGACUUGCCUGGUGGCUCCGAGGCCGACAUUGUGAGGGAAAAUAGUAGCGUUGUAGACAUUGUUGUUGCCGUGGGUAGCAUCAGCGCCAUAGAAGAUAGGUAUUCCGAGCCGAGUCGAAAGAGCUGCCUUUUGAAAAGUGUUCACCAUUUUCACCCAUUCCUCUGCAGAUGCCUUGGGAGAUGGACUACUCCCAGCUCCACUUAAAACACUCCCUACACAUCCACCAAACUAAAUCCAUAGAGUUGUUGGUGCCAAAAAACAAUUAAGAAAAUAGAGAAUUACCUAUGAAAUAUUUCUUGAGUAGAGUUGGAGAGACAUGCAUCCUCUCAAUCUGAGUCAUCUGCCCAAUCUUUUCUUCAAGGCUCAUUCUCUUCAUCAAGUCUCUGAUUCUUGCAUUUAAUGGCUGUUUUGGGUCUUUGUAUUUCAUGUAUUCCUUUGCUUCUGUAACUACUAUCACCAUUAAUACCAUCACCAUCAUUUUCAUCUUCACACCCCUUGAAACCACCUUCAUCAUUACCUCUGCAACACAGCCUAUUUAUGUUCAACAAAUAAUGCAAUUAUUUAAUUUUGUCUAGGGAAACAUAGUAAAAUAAGUAAUACCUCUAGUUGCACGCAAGGUGUAGAGAUAGCUAUUUAAAGGUUUUUUAUAAAUAUUUUGUAGAGGAUUAUGAAGAUUUCAAUGAGAGUAGUAUCUGUGCCAGUGUGUGAAUAAAUAUACAAGUAGUGAUUCCUGAUGAGUUUUUAGUGGGAGGUAUUUUCACAUGUAUUCUUGGAUAUUUUGUUAUAAGUGCAAAUGACUAAAUUAUUUUGGGUUUAA